rnacentral:rRNA from 1 species
GUUUGAUCCUGGCUCAGGAUGAACGCUAGCGGCAGGCUUAAUACAUGCAAGUCGAACGGGAUUCGGGGUAGCAAUACUUUGAUGAGAGUGGCGCACGGGUGCGUAACGCGUAUGCAACCUACCUUUAACAGGGGAAUAGCCCCGAGAAAUCGGGAUUAAUACUCCGUAACAUUGCGGUGUGGCAUCACACUGCACUUAAAGAUGAGGCGGUUAAAGAUGGGCAUGCGUGACAUUAGCUAGUUGGUGAGGUAACGGCUCACCAAGGCAACGAUGUCUAGGGGUCCUGAGAGGGUUAUCCCCCACACUGGUACUGAGACACGGACCAGACUCCUACGGGAGGCAGCAGUAAGGAAUAUUGGUCAAUGGGCGCAAGCCUGAACCAGCCAUGCCGCGUGCAGGAAGACGGCCCUAUGGGUUGUAAACUGCUUUUGUCAGGGAAUAAACCCCCGCUCGUGAGCGGGGCUGAAGGUACCUGAAGAAUAAGCAUCGGCUAACUCCGUGCCAGCAGCCGCGGUAAUACGGAGGAUGCAAGCGUUAUCCGGAUUCAUUGGGUUUAAAGGGUGCGCAGGCGGAUUGGUAAGUCAGGGGUGAAAUCCCACAGCUCAACUGUGGAACUGCCUUUGAUACUGUCAGUCUAGAGUAUAGUUGAAGUUGGCGGAAUGUGUCAUGUAGCGGUGAAAUGCUUAGAUAUGACACAGAACACCGAUCGCGAAGGCAGCUAGCUAAGCUAUAACUGACGCUCAUGCACGAAAGCGUGGGGAUCAAACAGGAUUAGAUACCCUGGUAGUCCACGCUGUAAACGAUGAUUACUCGAUGUUGGGCGAUACACAGUCAGCGUCUGAGCGAAAGCAAUAAGUAAUCCACCUGGGGAGUACGAUCGCAAGAUUGAAACUCAAAGGAAUUGACGGGGGCCCGCACAAGCGGA